rnacentral:rRNA from 1 species
GACGAACCGUGCGAACGUUGUUCGGAAUCACUGGGCUUAAAGGGCGCGUAGGCGGCUUCGCAAGUCGGGGGUGAAAUCUCGGAGCUUAACUCCGAAACUGCAUUCGAUACUGCCGUGCUUGAGGACUGGAGAGGAGACUGGAAUUUACGGUGUAGCGGUGAAAUGCGUAGAUAUCGUAAGGAAGACCAGUGGCGAAGGCGGGUCUCUGGACAGUUCCUGACGCUGAGGCACGAAGGUCAGGGGAGCAAACGGG